rnacentral:rRNA from 1 species
AACGAACGCUGGCGGCAUGCCUAACACAUGCAAGUCGAACGAGACCUUCGGGUCUAGUGGCGCACGGGUGCGUAACGCGUGGGAACCUGCCCUUAGGUUCGGAAUAACUCCCCGAAAGGGGUGCUAAUACCGGAUAAUGUCUUCGGACCAAAGAUUUAUCGCCUUUGGAUGGGCCCGUGUUGGAUUAGCUAGUUGGUAGGGUAAAAGCCUACCAAGGCGACGAUCCAUAGCUGGUCUGAGAGGAUGAUCAGCCACACUGGGACUGAGACACGGCCCAGACUCCUACGGGAGGCAGCAGUGGGGAAUAUUGGACAAUGGGCGAAAGCCUGAUCCAGCAAUGCCGCGUGAGUGAUGAAGGCCUUAGGGUUGUAAAGCUCUUUUACCCGGGAUGAUAAUGACAGUACCGGGAGAAUAAGCUCCGGCUAACUCCGUG